GCGUUAGUGGUUUAGUGGUAAAAUCCGUGCUUGCCAUAGUAGCGAGUUGCACGGGCCCUGGGUUCGAUUCCCAGCUAACGCA
rnacentral:tRNA from 1 species